UACAGAGGAUGCAAGCGUUAUCCGGAAUGAUUGGGCGUAAAGCGUCUGUAGGUGGCUUUUUAAGUCCGCCGUCAAAUCCCAGGGCUCAACUCUGGACAGGCGGUGGAAACUACCAAGCUGGAGUACGGUAGGGGCAGAGGGAAUUUCCGGUGGAGCGGUGAAAUGCGUAGAGAUCCGGAGGAACACCGACGGCGUAGGCAGCGCCCUGGACGACACCUGACGCUGAGGCACGAAAGCUGGGGGAGCGAACAGG
rnacentral:rRNA from 1 species